rnacentral:misc_RNA from 1 species
CAACCCUCAAGCCCGACUUGGUAUUGGACGACCUCCCCAACCGGAGGCGGCCGAAAAUCAAUGGCGGCAAACCCAAACCUUUGAGCGCAGUAAAAUAUUUCGUUCUGCAAGGGGAGGUGACGUCUGCCAACCACAAAUGUUUUCUAU